GCAUAAGAAGAUUGAUUUUUGAUUUUCUUUAUUAUCUUCAAAAUCACAAUAAUUAGAAAAAAAUUAAACAGUUUCCGUUUUAUUUUGUUUUAUUUUGUUUUUUUUUUUUUUUUUUUUACGUAGGUAUAGAACUCGCGGUAAGCGGCAUUGUACGCAGGUGUAUUUCGAAUAAUGGUGGCUCGAGAGCCAAGUUAUAUUCACAAUAAGAUCAAUAUCGACUAUAUAUAUUAUACGGUUAAAUAAUAAUUUAUGUCGAGUCGUAUGGCAAUGGCAGUACAGCUCUCGAUUUGAAGGGAAAAAACCCGCGAGGAAAUGCGACGACGACAGCGACGUCCCGGCGUAAUAUUAUAUUAUGUCGUACCUACAAAUAGACGAAUUCUCCUGUAAAUUAUUCUAAAGCGAAAGGAAAUGCGAUCCCGGGAAAUUACGUUUAGGAUAUCGCGCGUACACACACACACACACACACACCCUACAACAUAAUAAUAUACGCGA